CAAAAGGACAAAAGGAGAGAAGGUUAGCACUCCCCUUGAGAAGGAUGGAAGAGGCACAUGGACCCAACAGCAUGCAUACAGGUACUGCCACCUACUUUGUGGCAUCAAACCACUGUUUUAA
ensembl:snRNA